rnacentral:lncRNA from 1 species
UUGGGAACCAUGUUGAUCACAAACUACCAGUCUAGGAACAGGGAAACGGUCUCUAAUCAUGCUUUGGGCAUCGUCACGCGGAGCUUCUAAUAGUUGUGCAAAUGCCUGUGCCAUAUAUCAAAGCAAUUAGCAACAAAGAAGACAGUCAAUGGUAAAUGCAAGGUGGACAUUAAUUACUCUGAAUAAAAUAAUUUCAAUCAUAAACUGUAAGAAAGCUGCUACUGCUCCCAAUUAGAAGAUUAUACAUAUUUUAUUCAAAAUCUAAUUAUUAAAGAUCAUUCUUAGAGCAGAAUAUGCAAGUGAAAAUAAUUUAUAUGGCAAGACAUGUCGGAAUAUUGAGCACAUGCCUGAUGUUCUGGCUGGUUCUGGUACCCCAAGUUGCGCCAUUGAGCUAUUGUCAUUCCAUGAAAAAUAACCACACUAAAAUAUGAAUCAAGUAGCAGAAUCCGGUCUGCUGAAAUAGAAGACACAUCUAAUAGUGCGGGUGCAGG